CAGCAGCCACGGUAAUACAGAGGAUGCAAGCGUUAUCCGGAAUGAUUGGGCGUAAAGGGCUCGCAGGCGGUUUCUUAAGUCUGAUGUGAAAGCCCCCGGCUCAACCGGGGAGGGUCAUUGGAAACUGGGAAACUUGAGUGCAGAAGAGGAGAGUGGAAUUCCACGUGUAGCGGUGAAAUGCGUAGAGAUGUGGAGGAACACCAGUGGCGAAGGCGGCUCUCUGGUCUGUAACUGACGCUGAGGAGCGAAAGCGUGGGGAGCGAACAGGAUUAGAUACCCCAGUAGUCCCUGUCUCUUAUAA
rnacentral:rRNA from 1 species